UACAGAGGGGGGCAAGCGUUGUCCGGAAUUACUGGGCGUACAGCGCGCGCAGGCGGACUGCCACGUGCCGUGUGACAAGCCACCGCUCAACGGUGGAGGGCCAGGGUACACGAGCAGUCUGGAGGCAGGGAGAGGGAUGUGGAAUGCCCGGUGGAGCGGUGAAAUGCGUAGAGAUCGGGAGGAACACCAGUGGCGAAGGCGACUGCCUGGACCGUGGCUGACGCUGAGGCGCGAAAGCGUGGGGAGCGAUCCGG
rnacentral:rRNA from 1 species